rnacentral:hammerhead_ribozyme from 1 species
ACCAGAUGACGAGUCCCAAAUAGGACGAAAUGCGCAUCUUCGAU